AAACAAGCUACUGGAGGAAGAACUGGCGAGACUUGAAAGUGAACCGUCAAAGCUUGAAGCAUUAGUGGAACAAAAGAGAACACUAGAGCUCGACAAGACUAAAUUCGAGACCUACAUCACUGAUCUCGAGAAGCAUCGUCUCAAACUUGAGGAAAGAAAAAUUCAGAACGAAGAAGAAUUGAAUGAUCUCAGUAAGUGCAGUGUGGUGUCUUGAGGCAUCCUCUUACACUUGCGUAGGGUGAACUACCCCUCCCAUGUACAAGCCCUAUCCUGAGUAUGUCCAGUUAGGUCACCCCAAUCGUGAAACUCAACUCACUUUCACAGAAAAACCCUACCGCUUAUACGCUGACCCGUAGAUAAGCCCAUUUAAAAAGUGCAAAGUGCACCCCUACAUACACUAUAAACCAUGCAAAGUGUAGCACUACAUACACA